rnacentral:lncRNA from 1 species
CACGAGUAUUGUCCUCCUCAAUUUGAAUUUCAACAGUGUCAUUAUUAUUUAUGUUAUUCUUUCUUUACCUUCUCUGUUUCCUGCCACCUUCUCUGUCAAGGCUCAACCGCAGCCAAUCUUUAGCUGCAUCCUCUAUCUCCUUAUCUUCUGAAAGAAAUAAUAUUUCUAUGGGUUCCAAGUCAUGUUGGAAUCCUUGGACACACAGC